rnacentral:misc_RNA from 1 species
UUCCAAAUUGAACCUGAUAU